CCAUCGCGACCCCAGGUCAGGCGGGACUACCCGCUGAGUUUAAGCAU
rnacentral:rRNA from 9 species